UAUUAUCUAGCAGGACGCGCGAUGAAAUAUUAUCUACCCUUCAAAUAUUGGCUUCGCUCGGAAAACAGCUAGGAAAUGAAGAUGUUGGUGGUUGCUCUAAUCAACUAUGCAAUAGCAAUGACAAUUGAACAUGAACUCAAAACCUAUCCCAACUCAAAUUACAAAACAUGUGCUAGAAAUAUUCGUCUCCUAUUGGGUUAUAUAGCAAUUGUGCUACUUGUUCUGAUUCAUAUUCUCAUCUAUGGUGUGUUACUUCUGAGUUUAUGGGUCUACAUGGUUAUACGAGUAGCAAGCAAUCCAUAUCAAGACUUGUAUCUAUUAGUAGGUGAAGAUUUGCAGCACUCAAAGGAGCUAGCUGAAGAUGCAAUCCAAAGGCUAUUUGGCAGGCUGGAGUGAGCCACGGAAUCAAUCGUCUAGUUAGUAUCGAGUUGUAGAAAUAAUUCCGAUGCUCAUCUCCUUCAGCACAACAAAAUACCCAUCUCAUUCCCAGUAUAUGUUUGAGAAUAGCAUUUGCUAUUGAAUCCAUACUCAAAGCUUGUAAAUCAAAUUGUGUUGAUCUUAGUCCCAAGCUUCAGAUGGUUUCUUGACCUGCAUAUUUAAAUGGGUAGCUUGGAACUCAUAUCAAGAUCUUUACCAUUUGCUACUCCAAGCAUUUAAUGAGUUGAAGAGGCUCUCAAGAAAUGCAUUUGAAGCACUGAGGAGGGAGGCCAAUUUGAGGUGGGGAAACAGGAACUGAAUCAUCAAUCUUCUUCAUCUGUUAAAUAUUGUUUAGUCUUAAUUAUUGCUUAUUCAUUAAUAUUAUGUAAAUGACCUUGUUCAUAUUCCUUGCUGCUACUCUGACCAAAUUGGUGAUUAAUAUCUUUAUUGCUUAUUGCUA